UGAGCCGGCCGGGCGACCGCGGCGUCGGGAACGGGCACGAUGUGCCGCUGCCCGAUAUCGAGGAAAGUCCGGACUCCACAGAGCAGGGCGGUUGCUAACGGCAACCCGGGGUGACCCGCGGGACAGUGCCACAGAGAACAGACCGCCCGCGGUCCGCGCUUCGGCGCGGGUCGCGCGGUGAGGGUGAAACGGUGCGGUAAGAGCGCACCAGCGCCUCGGGUGACCGAGGCGGCUAGGUAAACCCCGCCCGGAGCAAGGUCGAAGGUCGCACCGUUCGCGGUGCGGUUGCGCAGGUGUUGGAGGGCUGCUCGCCCGAGCCUGCGGGUUGACCGCUCGAGGCACCCGGUGACGGUGUGUCCAGAUGGAUGGUCGCCCCCCGGCUUCGGCCGGGGACAGGAUCCGGCUUACAGGCCGGCUCGUCCG
rnacentral:RNase_P_RNA from 1 species